rnacentral:rRNA from 1 species
UUGGUGAGGUAAUGGCUCACCAAGGCGACGACGGGUAGCCGGCCUGAGAGGGCGACCGGCCACACUGGGACUGAGACACGGCCCAGACUCCUACGGGAGGCAGCAGUGGGGAAUAUUGCACAAUGGGCGAAAGCCUGAUGCAGCGACGCCGCGUGAGGGAUGACGGCCUUCGGGUUGUAAACCUCUUUCAGCAGGGAAGAAGCGAAAGUGACGGUACCUGCAGAAGAAGCGCCGGCUAACUACGUGCCAGCAGCCGCGGUAAUACGUAGGGCGCAAGCGUUGUCCGGAAUUAUUGGGCGUAAAGAGCUCGUAGGCGGCUUGCCACGUCGGGUGUGAAAGCCCGGGGCUUAACCCCGGGUCUGCAUUCGAUACGGGCAGGCUAGAGUGUGGUAGGGGAGAUCGGAAUUCCUGGUGUAGCGGUGAAAUGCGCAGAUAUCAGGAGGAACACCGGUGGCGAAGGCGGAUCUCUGGGCCAUUACUGACGCUGAGGAGCGAAAGCGUGGGGAGCGAACAGGAUUAGAUACCCUGGUAGUCCACGCCGUAAACGGUGGGAACUAGGUGUUGGCGACAUUCCACGUCGUCGGUGCCGCAGCUAACGCAUUAAGUUCCCCGCCCUGGGGAGUACGG